rnacentral:tRNA from 1 species
GGUGGGGUAGCGAAGUGGCUAAACGCGGCGGACUGUAAAUCCGCUCCUUAGGGUUCGGCAGUUCGAAUCUGCCCCCCACCACCA